rnacentral:lncRNA from 1 species
GAGAAGGUCUGGAGAAAAAACUAAGUCUCCCAAUUAUCAGAGGCUUCUACUAUUGCCACCAUGUGGCAAAACUCUGAGAACCAGACACUCCUGUUUUUCACUCUUUUCCCCUGGGAUUAGGAAUGCCUCAGGACAACCGCUCCAGUCUCUUGCUUUUCAGGGCCCAAAUACCUCCCACCACCCCAGUCUACCUGGGGACUGCUGAUAUCAAUUGUUAGAAAUCCUGUGACCAACUAAAUCUCUGAUUCCAGUCCACUUGGAAUUGAAGAUUCUUUUUUUUUUUUUUUUUUUUUUUUUUUUUUUUUUUUUUUUGAGACGCGGAGUCUCACUCUGUCGACCAGGCUGGAGUGCGGUGGCGCGAUCUUAGCUGACUGAAACCUCCCAGGCUGGAGUGCAGUGGCCCGAUCUCAGCUCACUGCAACCCCUACCUCCUGGGUUCAAGCGAUUUUCCUGCCUCAGCUUCCCAAGUAGCUGGUACUACAGGUGUGCCCCACCAUGCCCAGCUAAUUCUUUUAUUUGUAGUAGAGACAAGGUUUCACCAUGUUGGCCAGGCUGGUCUCGAACUCCUGACUUCAGGUGAUCCACUCGCCUCGGCCUCCCAAAGUGCUGGGAUUACAGGAGUGAGCCACUGCGCGUGGCCCGAAUUGAAGAUUCUUAAAGGAAAUAGAAAAAUCGGAGGUAGGAAGCAGGGUUGAGCACUGUUUGAGGAGAAUGACGACAACACUCCAGGAUACUGAAACAAUAAGAUGGAAGGACCCUGACAGUCGGGAGCUGCUAUAUCCACCAAAAACUGCUCAUUUUUUAUCUUUUUACUUUCAUUCUAACGUGUAAGACUACCAACCAAUACACACUAUCACUAUUUUGGGGCAAUCAUUUCUCUAUGUGAAUAUCUUUAUAUGGUUGAAAUUAUACUCUAUUUUCAUUUCUAUAUGCUUAUUUUUACAAAACAACAUAUUGUGACUAUAUUUCUUGGUCAAAAAAUGUACAUCUACAAUUACAUUGAAAAAUAGUGACUGGUAUUCCAUUAGGCACCCACCAUAAUUUGGUUUCCUCAUAUUGGACAGUUUUUGCUCUGAUAGUACUGCAAUGAACAUUUUUCUCUGUAAAUUUUUGACCAUUUUUCUGAUUAUUUUUUUAAGAUAGAUCACUAGGGCUGGUCGUGGUGGCUCAUGCUUGUAAUCCUAGCACUUAGGGAGGCUGAGCCAGUGGAUCACCUGAGGUCAGGGGUUCAAGACCAGCCUGAGCAACAUGACGAAACCCCGUCUCUACUAAAAAUACAAAAAUUAGCUGGGCGUGGUGGCGUGCGCCUGUAGUACCAGCUACUCAGGAGGCUGAGACAGGAGAAUUGCUUGAACUAGGGAGGUGGAGAUUGCAGUGAGCCGAGAUCAUGCCACUGAACUCCAGCCUGGGCAACAACAGAAUGAGACUCCAUCUCAAAAAAAAAAAAAAAAAAAGAAAAGAUAGAUCACUAGAAUUAGUCAUUACUAUUUGAGCAAGAGUAUUUGGUUCUUAAAACUCACAACUUGCUUCCAUGAAGUUAUACUAAUUUACAUAGCCACACCACAAAUGCUGCAGGAGAAUGUAUGUUUUCCUACCUCCUUAAGAUAAUUAACAUUUAAAAUGCUUUUGCUAUUCAAAUAUGGGAAAAUAAUAUUAUUUCAUUCUUUGUUUCAAUUUAUGUAUUUUUAUGACUCAUUAGGUUGAAUUGGUUUUCUCAUGUUUAUCAGACACAUGAAAUCCUCCUUCUAUGAAUUUGCUACUCAUAUUUAUUUCUCAUAUUACUAUUGAUUCUUAGAUAUUGUUUUCAUUAUUCAAUUUCUAUGAAUUCUCUACAUACUGGAAUACUCAUUCUUUAUAAAAUCAUGGCAUAUGUUUCCAAUUUGAUCUGUCUUCAACUUUAUGAUUUUUGAUAAGCCAAAGUUCUAAACAUAUAUCUAUUUUGAAUAUAUUGACUUUUUCCUUAGUUAUUUCUUCCAUUACUUUCAGGGUUAGAAAGCAUUUCUUUCUUCAAAAAUAAGACAUUGUUUUAAAUUUUGUUAUAUUUAAAAUUUGUUUUAUUUUUGAUAUUGAUUUCUGAAAGCAACUUAAAAUGCAUUUCACUGUGUGGUAUGAGGAAUCUAAAGAAUUGUUUCUAAAUACCUAGCUCGUUUUCUCGUGACAUAAUUUGAAUAUUUCAUUUUUUCUCUGUUGUUUUAUGAUGCUUGCUUUGUCACAUGUCUCAAUUCAAUUUGGGCUGCUCUAACAAAGCACCGUGGAUUGGGUGGCUUAAACAAAGAACAGUGUUUUCUCACAGCUCUGGAGGCUUGAAGUCUGAGAUCAGGGGCCAGGAUGGUGGCAUUCUGGUAAGGACCCUCUUCCAGGUUGCAGACUGCCAACUUCUUGGAUCCACACAGUGUGUGAAAAGAGAGAGAAAGCAAGCUCUCUCAUAACUCUGAUGAGGGCACUAAUCUCAUUCCUGAGGCCUCUACCCUCAUGGCCUCAUCUAAAUCCUAAUGACCUCUCAAUAACCCCACCUUCUAAUUCAUCACAUAGGAAUUUUGGAGGAACACAAGUGUUCAGUCCAUAACAUCAUAUAUUAAAGUUUUACAUAAACUAAGGCUCAUAGGGACUAUCUAUAAGAUUCAUCUAUUUAUUCUUUAAGUGGUAGCUUUUCUUCUUUGUUGGCUCUUUUAAAUUAUUUCUGAAAAGAAUGAAACAGAAAAAAAGCCAAAGAUAAUUAAUAUAGAAAUCAUCUAUAUUUCCAUUACCUAGACUUAAUGAUUAACGUUUUAAAUAUUUGUAUUGGUACAGUCAUUUUAGUGAUUUCAGCUUUAUAAUAUUUUCUCUAGUGGGGCAACUUUCACGUCAGUUUUUUCUCCUAAGAGCUUCUUAUCUACUUUCACUUACUAAUUCCCUAAAUAAACUUUAAAACCACUGUUAAGCUGUCCCCAAAAUUCAUUGAGAAUAAAAAGAAUUCUGUUGGCUAAUAAAAUAAUUGGCAAGGAAUUGAUGUUUUCAACCAGAAAAGUGCAUAUUCUCUUUUUUUAAGAGACUAAUUAGAACUUCUUUAUAUUUCUCAAUAUGCUUAGUUACUUUACCCAAAUUAUACAAUGAAAUGGAAAAGUGAGAUUUGUACUCAUGUAUUUUUUACUGAAGGUACAGUACUCUUUAUAACAUUACAUUCUAACAUUUGGCAAAGGGCCUAAAAUGUACUGAUAAGAUCUAGAAUACGAAGCACUGUGCCAAAUGCUGUGAUAGAAAAACAAUAUUGUAUGAACUGGUUUUUGCAUUCAAGGCACAUUUUUUGAAAAACAAAAAUCAAGUCUAUGACACAUGCAAUUAAUUAGAAAACAAUGAAAGAGAUCAGUGGAAUUGUUUUGCAAUAGUGGUUGCUCAUGGACCUCUGUGAAUUGAAUGACUGAAUGCAAGGUGAGCUUUUACUAAAUUUCCUUUUUCUUGUUGGCCACUCAGCCUCUUUUUUGACUACUGCACUUUUUACUGCUCAUGCUUAUUUUUGCUCUGGCUUCUGGAUGCCUGUGGCUAUGUAUUCACCAAUUUUAAAUAAACAGUCUAUAUCCUCCAGCUGGAUGCCCUGCUUUUUGAGAAAUGUCUGUGGUUUUAUUGCAACAAGUACUAAUGGAACUUGGUCCAAUUACAUAAACUUAUUAAAUAUUAUAUGAAUAACAUUGCCACCACAACUGAUGUAUGUUGUGAUUCACUCCCAACUCGACUGACAAUAAAUAGCCAUUUCCCCAGACAGGCUUUUGCAGAUGACUACCUCGGUUCCUCAGUUGGCUGCUGUUCCCUCAGAAAGUGGACUUGGCUCCACAGCUGCAGAAAC